GACCCAUUAGCUCAGUCGGUAGAGCAUCUGACUUUUAAUCAGGGUGUCCGGCGUUCGAGUCGCCGAUGGGUCA
rnacentral:tRNA from 1 species